UACAAGUAAUGGGACCACAUUUGACUAGUUAGAAGGAGAAAAGGGACACAUAGUCACAAAGUUGGAAAACCAAUCUUUCCCUAUUCUUUCACUUUCACGCCUAAUCACUCCACAACCACAAGAUCUCAAUCCUCUCAUCUUUCUCUUCACGCAAAAACAGAAACAAAAGCACCAUGACCCCAUUUCAUUUCUCUCUCUCUCAUGGAACACACCACUCAACUUCCAUUUUCCAAGCUAGAAACCACACCCCACAUAAGAAGAGUAACCAUCCACACACUUUGCAUCUUUUCAUUUAUGCAGAAAAACAAAUUCUCUCUCUAACUCUCCAUUUUCUCUCCCUCGUGGUUGUUCCCCUUUUCACUAUAUUCACCACUUCCAAUCACCAAGCUUCUCAUGCAAUUGGACAUUUAAGUUCCUCAGACUCCAAAUCAUUCAAGAUAAGGCUUUCAGUGACUCAAUCUAUUUCAUCUUCCUACACUCUCUCUCUCUCUCUCUCUCUCUCGUGUUACCCUUCUUCAUCUUCAAUAGAAACCAACCAUACCCAAAUCAUCCAUUUUUGGUACCAUGAAGCCUUGCAUGUGUUUAUUUUAAAGCUAUUGGUACUGUGAUGUUUAGUUAGGAGCUAAGCAUUGUUAGAAACUUCAUGGAUUUGGGAGGUUUAAGAAAAAGUGUCAGACUUUUGGAUGGAAUCUAUUAGAAGGGAAAAUUCAAUUUUGACCCAUUCCCUUGGAGCUGGCCGUAUCACCCCCACCUCUUCCCCAAGUUCAGAUAUUGAUUUGUAUUGUGGUCAAACACAUGAUUUUGCCUUGAAAUUGAGUGGAGUUAAAGGAGUGGAAGGCUGCAUGUAGCAUCUCUUGGUGCCAAAUGGAUAUGAAAUAAAGUGGCCGAUUUUAGAAGAUAUUGAAGAAUCAAGUGGGUGUCACUAAAGUUCUCAACUGUGUUCUCUUGAAAGGUAAACAGGUUAACCGGAGCAAGGACCAGGCAGGAACUGAUGAUCGAGGUUGAGCUUGGAUUAUCGGAUUAGAAGACUAUCGUCUUCUUCUUUGUUUUUAUGUUAAUCUGUUAAGUUAGAAUUUAAUUCUCUUCUGCUGUAUUUUACUGGAUUAUCACAUUAUUAUCGUGAUAUUGUAAAAUUCAAGUAAUUAUUCUGUAAUUUUAAUGUACUCAGAUUCAAUUA